rnacentral:rRNA from 1 species
UACGGAGGGUGCAAGCGUUAUCCGGAUUUACUGGGUUUAAAGGGUGCGUAGGUGGGUUGGGAAGUCAGUGGUGAAAUACUUUCGCUUAACGAAGGAACUGCCAUUGAUACUAUCAAUCUUGAAUGUAGUGGAGGUAGGCGGAAUGCGUCAUGUAGCGGUGAAAUGCUUAGAUAUGACGCAGAACACCAAUUGCGAAGGCAGCUUGCUACACUACUAUUGACACUGAGGC